AUCAUUCUCAGAGCAAUAGCCAAAUAUCGACUUUGCUGCAUUUUUGUAGGCAUGUUGACAUAACUUCAACAUAUGCUCUGUUCUGUAAAAAUUGCUUUUUUUAGUCAGCUCAUUAAAAGUGCAAAGUAGUAAAAGCUGCCCUAGUGAACUGUAGGAAGCCUAAUUGGCUUUAUCUACAUGUGUAGCCUGAGCUGAGAAAGAUACUAGCCCUUGAAAAUACUGUGGGUGAUUAGCAAUAUUGGAUUUGUCGGUUACUCCAAUUCCUCACUAAUGAGCAUUCCAACGUGGAUACCCUGGGAGGUCACUCUCCCCAGGCUCUGUCCAAGUGGCAUAGGGGAGCUUAGGGCUCUGCCCCAUGAUGUACAGUCCCUUUCCACAACGUUGAAGAUGAAGCUGGGCCUCGUGUCUGCGCCUGCAUAUUCCUACAGCUUCCCAGAGUCCUGUGGACAAUGACUGGGGAGACAAACCAUGCAGGAAACAUAUCUAGUAUACUAGAUUUUA
rnacentral:lncRNA from 1 species